rnacentral:rRNA from 1 species
AUACGGAGGAUGCGAGCGUUAUCCGGAUUUAUUGGGUUUAAAGGGAGCGUAGGUGGGAUAUUAAGUCAGCUGUGAAAGUUUGGGGCUCAACCUUAAAAUUGCAGUUGAUACUGGUUUCCUUGAGUACGGUACAGGUGGGCGGAAUUCGUGGUGUAGCGGUGAAAUGCUUAGAUAUCACGAAGAACUCCGAUCGCGAAGGCAGCUCACCGGGCCGGAACUGACACUGAUGCUCGAAAGUGCGGGUAUCAAACAGGAUUAGAUACCCUGGUAGUCCACACAGUAAACGAUGAAUACUCGCUGUUUGCGAUAUACAGUAAGCGGCCAAGCGAAAGCGUUAAGUAUUCCACCUGGGGAGUACGCCGGCAACGGUGAAACUUAAAGGAAUUGACGGGG